rnacentral:rRNA from 1 species
AUUGAACGCUGGCGGCAUGCCUUACACAUGCAAGUCGAACGGCAGCACGGGAGCAAUCCUGGUGGCGAGUGGCGAACGGGUGAGUAAAGUAUCGGAACGUGCCCAGUCGUGGGGGAUAACGUAGCGAAAGUUACGCUAAUACCGCAUACGAUCUAUGGAUGAAAGCGGGGGAUCGCAAGACCUCGCGCGAUUGGAGCGGCCGAUAUCAGAUUAGGUAGUUGGUGGGGUAAUGGCUCACCAAGCCGACGAUCUUUAGCGGGUCUGAGAGGACGAGCAGCCACACUGGGACUGAGACACGGCCCAGACUCCUACGGGAGGCAGCAGUGGGGAAUUUUGGACAAUGGGCGCAAGCCUGAUCCAGCCAUGCCGCGUGCAGGAUGAAGGCCUUCGGGUUGUAAACUGCUUUUGUACGGAACGAAAAGGUUUGACUUAAUACGUUGGACUCAUGACGGUACCGUAAGAAUAAGCACCGGCUAACUACGUGCCAGCCGCCGCAGUAA